GGGAUUGCCCCAGUAACGGCGAGUGAAGCGGCAACAGCUCAAAUUUGAAAUCUGGCCCCCCCCCGGGGGGGCCCGAGUUGUAAUUUGCAGAGGAUGCUUUGGGCGAGGCGCCUUCCGAGUUCCCUGGAACGGGACGCCACAGAGGGUGAGAGCCCCGUCUGGUCGGACGCCGAGCCUCUGUAAAGCUCCUUCGACGAGUCGAGUAGUUUGGGAAUGCUGCUCAAAAUGGGAGGUAUAUGUCUUCUAAAGCUAAAUACCGGCCAGAGACCGAUAGCGCACAAGUAGAGUGAUCGAAAGAUGAAAAGCACCUUGAAAAGGGGGUUAAACAGUACGUGAAAUUGUUGAAAGGGAAGCGCUCGUGACCAGACUUGGGGCGGGCGGAUCAGCCGGCGUUCUCGCCGGCGCACUCCGCCCGUCCCAGGCCAGCAUCAGUUCGCGCCGGGGGACAAAGGCGGCGGGAACGUGGCUCCCCAGGGAGUGUUAUAGCCCGCCGCGCCAUGCCCCGGGGGCGGACUGAGGGCCGCGCAUCACUGCAAGGAUGCUGGCGUAAUGGUCACCAGCGACCCGUCUUGAAACACGGGCCAAGGAGUCGUCCUCGUAUGCGAGUGUUCGGGUGUCAAACCCCUACGCGGAAUGAAAGUGAACGUGGGUGAGAGCUUCGGCGCAUCAUCGACCGAUCCUGAUGUUCUCGGAUGGAUUUGAGUAGGAGCAUACGGGGCCGGACCCGAAAGAAGGUGAACUAUGCCUGUGUAGGGUGAAGCCAGAGGAAACUCUGGUGGAGGCUCGCAGCGGUUCUGACGUGCAAAUCGAUCGUCAAACAUGGGCAUGGGGGCGAAAGACUAAUCGAC
rnacentral:rRNA from 1 species